GAAACCAAAAGGCAAAGCCAUGAUCAAAGUACUAAAACUAAGUUCAAAACACAUAAAGUAGAUGAGCAGUUGUAACAUUCCCAUAGACUUGGAAAAAUUAUUCUAAAACUGCGACACCACUUCCAUGAGAAAGAUUGAGAUGUGAAAGACACUAAUAACUGGAACAAAAUGCAAGAUUCUCCAAAUUAAGUAACACCAUCUACACAGGUGAAUGGAACUGAAAAAAAAAAAAAAAACAAGAAAAAAGGAUUCAGUUGUGUCCAUGCAUUCCAAGUAUUCG
rnacentral:lncRNA from 1 species